GACGAACGCUGGCGGCGUGCUUAACACAUGCAAGUCGAACGGAAAGGCCCUGCUUUUGUGGGGUGCUCGAGUGGCGAACGGGUGAGUAACACGUGAGUAACCUGCCCUUGACUUUGGGAUAACUUCAGGAAACUGGGGCUAAUACCGGAUAGGAGUUCCUGCUGCAUGGUGGGGGUUGGAAAGUUUCGGCGGUUGGGGAUGGACUCGCGGCUUAUCAGCUUGUUGGUGGGGUAGUGGCUUACCAAGGCUUUGACGGGUAGCCGGCCUGAGAGGGUGACCGGCCACAUUGGGACUGAGAUACGGCCCAGACUCCUACGGGAGGCAGCAGUGGGGAAUAUUGCACAGUGGGCGGAAGCCUGAUGCAGCAACGCCGCGUGCGGGAUGACGGCCUUCGGGUUGUAAACCGCUUUCGCCUGUGACGAAGCGUGAGUGACGGUAAUGGGUAAAGAAGCACCGGCUAACUACGUG
rnacentral:rRNA from 1 species